AUUGAACGCUGGCGGCAUGCCUUACACAUGCAAGUCGAACGGUAACGGGCCUUCGGGUGCCGACGAGUGGCGAACGGGUGAGUAAUACAUCGGAACGUGCCCGAUCGUGGGGGAUAACGAGGCGAAAGCUUUGCUAAUACCGCAUACGAUCUACGGAUGAAAGCAGGGGACCGCAAGGCCUUGCGCGGACGGAGCGGCCGAUGGCAGAUUAGGUAGUUGGGGGGAUAAAAGCUUACCAAGCCGACGAUCUGUAGCUGGUCUGAGAGGAUGAUCAGCCACACUGGGACUGAGACACGGCCCAGACUCCUACGGGAGGCAGCAGUGGGGAAUUUUGGACAAUGGGCGCAAGCCUGAUCCAGCCAUGCCGCGUGCAGGAUGAAGGCCUUCGGGUUGUAAACUGCUUUUGUACGGAACGAAAAGCCUUCUUUUAAUACAGGAGGGUCAUGACGGUACCGGAAGAAUAAGCACCGGCUAACUACGUG
rnacentral:rRNA from 1 species